UCCUGGCUGGCUCAGUUGGUGGAGCAGGGGACUCUUGAUCUCAUGGUUGUGAGUUCAAGCCCCACGUUGGGUG
rnacentral:tRNA from 1 species